rnacentral:rRNA from 1 species
AGGAAUAUUGGUCAAUGGUCGGCAGACUGAACCAGCCAAGUCGCGUGAGGGAAGACGGCCCUACGGGUUGUAAACCUCUUUUGUCGGAGAGUAAAGUACGCUACGUGUAGCGUAUUGCAAGUAUCCGAAGAAAAAGCAUCGGCUAACUACGUGCCAGCAGCCGCGGUAAAACGUAGGUCACAAGCGUUGUCCGGAAUUACUGGGUGUAAAGGGAGCGCAGGCGGGAAGACAAGUUGGAAGUGAAAUCUAUGGGCUCAACCCAUAAACUGCUUUCAAAACUGUUUUUCUUGAGUAGUGCAGAGGUAGGCGGAAUUCCCGGUGUAGCGGUGGAAUGCGUAGAUAUCGGGAGGAACACCAGUGGCGAAGGCGGCCUACUGGGCACCAACUGACGCUGAGGCUCGAAAGUGUGGGUAGCAAACAGGAUUAGAUACCCUGGUAGUCCACACCGUAAACGAUGAUUACUAGGUGUUGGAGGAUUGACCCCUUCAGUGCCGCAGUUAACACAAUAAGUAAUCCACCUGGGGAGUACGACCGCAAGGUUGAAACUCAAAGGAAUUGACGGGGGCCCGCACAAGCAGUGGAGUAUGUGGUUUAAUUCGACGCAACGCGAAGAACCUUACCAAGUCUUGACAUCCCUUGACAGGCAUAGAAAUAUGUAAUCUCUUCGGAGCAAGGAGACAGGUGGUGCAUGGUUGUCGUCAGCUCGUGUCGUGAGAUGUUGGGUUAAGUCCCGCAACGAGCGCAACCCUUAUGGUCAGUUACUACGCAAGAGGACUCUGGCCAGACUGCCGUUGACAAAACGGAGGAAGGUGGGGAUGACGUCAAAUCAUCAUGCCCUUUAUGACUUGGGCUACACACGUACUACAAUGGCGUUAAACAAAGAGAAGCAAGACCGCGAGGUGGAGCAAAACUCAGAAACAACGUCCCAGUUCGGACUGCAGGCUGCAACUCGCCUGCACGAAGUCGGAAUUGCUAGUAAUCGUGGAUCAGCAUGCCACGGUGAAUACGUUCCCG